GUGGGUGAGGAAGGUAGAAGACCAGGGAGGUGGGAGAGAAUGGGGCUCGGGGUGGAGAGGUAUAUUGUCAGGUACAUGAAUGGAAGCUUGGGGUGUGUAAGGGCUGGGAUGGAGUGAAGGACCAUUUCAGUUCUGCUGGCACUACAUUGGAGAGGAAUGUGACUGAUGGAUCUGCUGGGGUUGUGAGGUGGAUGAGGUGAAGGGGCGGUGUCAGGUCCAGAAGGUUGAGGGAUGGAAUUCGGUGCUACCAGGUCGGGACGGAGGGUCAGUACCACCUGGGUCGCUUUGGGUUGGGUUUCAGGUUAGUGAGGCAGGGGCUGUGUGGGUGUUGGGUGGUGAUGGGGGAAUGCAAAUUGCUGUCAGUUCCAAACCCAUUGGCAGGAGCAGGGAGUGUCUGUUCAGGGGCUAGUGGGGUUGGGCCGAGUAGGGUGUGAAGGCUGGUGAAGUGGAGGGGCUGUUGUUUUGCUGGUAAUGGGGUGGGCGGAAGGUGUCCCAUUCCAAUGUGGCUGUGGUCGGGGCGAAGGGGAGUCAUGUGUCAGUGAUGAGGGAUCUGUAGAAUCCUGGGGUUGGUGAGAAGGUGAUGGAGGUUUGGGACCAGCUGGGUCAUGAGUGUCAGGUGGAGGGGGUUUGUCCAAUCUGACAUGGUCAUGUCGGGGGUGUUGUCGGGUCAGGGGGAAUGGGGGAA